ACCAAAUAAUGGGGUGACAAAGUAACAAGGGUACACUUGAAUCAACCAGGUUUGGGGCAGCCGAGUAGCCGGGUAGGGGCAGGGCGGAAAUCAACCAGGCACGGCGCCGCGGGAGGACACGGUCGCCGGUCGGGGCCUCGGCGCCUGCCUCGCGGUGGUCUACGCCUCCAUCCUCCGCGGAUUGACCCGGGCAGACAACGACGACGGCUCGGCGUCCGAUGGCCGACGGGGAGAGGCGGAGGCUGCGAGGCGAGGAACGGACGAACGGCGGCGGCACGGUCACGUUUCCUUCCUGCAUUCAGAGGAUGCAUGCAUCCUCUUGGCACCUAAUCCUCUUGGCUCUGAUGCCUCUGAACCGAUUUCAGUCCCGAUCCCAUCCAGCCGGUGCAAAUCGAUUCCGACCAUUCCAGGAGGGGACAGACGAAUUGAUUUGCUUUUGCACAACCAGAGGAUAUGCCACAUCUGAAGACAUCGCUUGCUAAUUGGUGGAAAGGAUAGAGAAUGCCUUUCAAGGACUGAGAACACCCCAAACUCCCCAAGUAAGUUCCUUGUCAUUUUUGUGAUUAAAUUCAUGUCGCAUUUGUGAAAUAAAGGGAAACAUAAACUUCAGCAGACACCAAGUUCUGCAAUGUUUUGAGAGCUUUAUAAGACUUCCGUUGAAUAUUUAAACAACAUUACCUGA